CUCUCUCUCUCUCUCUCUAUGUAUUGGUUUAAUUUUGUUUUUUAUUAAUCAUAAUAAAAACGGUCUAAUACAUUAUUUGGAAAUUGUAAAAUUAAAACAAAACUGGCCCAAAAAUCCAAUGACCCAAUUAAAAGAAAAAAGUCCAGCCCAAUUGCUUGACCCGCUCCACAAUACUCCAUUAAACGGAGUAGGGUUUCUAAAUUCAUCAGCAAAGCUGAUCUUUCCAUUCACCGCCUCCUUCAUUAUGCUCAGCUUCCUCAACCUCUGAUUUGUUCUUCUUCAGGUUUGGGUGAUCAACACUUUGCCUUUGCUGCUCAUUUUGGAUGCUUCUAGCUUGCAUGGGUGAAAUCUUCAGUAUGCUUUCUGUGGUUUGUGGUGCUUAAAAGGAGGGUCUCAUCUUCUGAAACUUGUUUCUUUCUUCUUUUGGGAUGGAGAUAUUGGGAAGCUCGGACCCGUUGAUAGUUGAAGAGGAACCAGAAAUUCAGCUGCUUGCAUUCAAUCUGACUUGGUGACCCCUGGUCUAUUGAGAUUCUCUUUUUGUUGGCUGAUGUAGAUAGGCAUAACAUUUUCACUUUUUUGUUUAGCACUAUUUGUAUAUAAGAUGUUAGUGAAAACAUUUGUUGUAGCCUUUCCAAUUCUAUUAGCAUGUUGCUACUUUUAGCCUCAGAUAUGGAAAUUAUUGCUUGUCACUGUUCAGUAACUUUCUACCUGCACUUGGUAGCUAGGUGAAAGCUGUAAAGUGAACUAUUUCUUUUCAAAUGCUAAGUUAGCUAAGUAAUCAACCACUUGAUUGCCCUCUUUGUA